CUCUCCCUCAUCUUCCUUAUUCUUCCUUGACUUCUUGGGCUUUCCCUUCUCUCUCUCCCUGAUCCAGAAACCCAACUCAAUGUUUUUGUUAUGACUGUAACUGUACCAGCCACCAGGUUUUGGUCAAACAAAAAAGGACCGAAGUGUUUAUUUCAUCGGAUUAUCAUGUAAGGGACUCUGGAGUUGGGAAUUACUGCCACUCAGCUCAUAUUCACAGUGACCCACAUAGAGAAUUUGUGUUUUGAAGCUUAGAUUUGGCCAUGGAGAAACUUCCUGAUGAAGAAACUACAUUAAGCUAUGGUAGAUCAGCUUGUAAAAAUCAAGAAAGAUGAGGGAGAGAGAGGCAGAGUGGGUAUGCGAUGGUGGGUAGGAGGCGCUCUACGCAGAUGAUACAGGUCUUUGUUUUUUUUUUUUUUGGAUUUUAAUUUUUAAAAUUUUUAAAAUAUAAUAUAUUUUAUUUAAAGCCACGUGGAUGUAUACUAUUGAAUUUGUGGGCUCCA